GCCGCCCUCACAGCCCUGCUGCAGCACCGCAGAAAGGAGCCGCAAGGCUUCUCCUCAGGGAGAACUUCCUCACAGAGUUAGCCUGAGCACAAGGAAUGGAUGGUUGUUACCAAGUUCAGAUACCGCUGUAAAAUCCAGCGCGAUGGGCGAGUUGUGGAGGAGCAGCCCUGGUCGGGCUGUGGGGAGGAGGUGACCUGGCAGCGUGGUGGGGAUGCUGCGGAGGAAGACAAGGCCAGACCUGCAGCACUUAGCUGGAUGCAUGCACAUAUUAUGAUGUGAUAGUUCAGAGAAACCCUUAGCACGUGGAGUUUUUGCUGUUCCUAAAGGAAUAAUCACAGAAUCCCCUGAGCUGGAAGGCACCCACAAAGAUCAGAGUCCAGCUCCUGACCCUGCAUGGGAUAUUCCGAAAAAUCCUACCCUGAGAGCACUCUCCAAGAGAAAUUUGCAUUUAUUGCUGAAGGAAUGGAAAAGACAAACUCUUAAUUGAUAUUUGAAAGGACAGGCUGCACAAAUUUUGUCCACAUAACUGUGAUUUCCUGGCUGGCUCCAAGUGGUGCACCAAGGUCACUGAGAGCUGUGACAGUGACUGGUCAAUAGAGAACCCUGAUCACCUGGGAUACCAGACACAGCAAAGAGAUUUCUCAAAUAAGAAUUGGAGAAAUUGUUUUGCCAUCCUAGAGUGAAGUAUCAGGAGACAGAAAAAAGAGACUUCCCCCCACUCUCUCCCUCUCCUACCUUGGGUGCUGCCAUCUGGAGCCUGUGCUAUUUGGUAAUAUUAAAUAAAUGCAAAGCUA